AUAAAACUAAUAAUGAAAUGUUUAGGAGGCAGCAGUGUUUGUGAAUCCUGUAAUAUUAACCCAACCUAAACAGAUUGUCGUAGACCUAGGGACUACUAUACGGUUGGACUGUAUGGUAGAUAAACUUCCAGAGGCUAUCUCCCUAAUCUGGAAACGUCCUGAUGCUGCAACUAAUCAAAUCU